rnacentral:rRNA from 1 species
GACGAACGCUGGCGGCGUGCCUAAUACAUGCAAGUCGAGCGGACUUGAUGAAGUGCUUGCACUUCUGAUGGUUAGCGGCGGACGGGUGAGUAACACGUAGGUAACCUGCCUAUAAGACUGGGAUAACAUUCGGAAACGAAUGCUAAUACCGGAUACGCGAAUUGGUCGCAUGGCCGAAUCGGGAAAGACGGAGCAAUCUGUCACUUAUAGAUGGACCUGCGGCGCAUUAGCUAGUUGGUGAGGUAACGGCUCACCAAGGCGACGAUGCGUAGCCGACCGGGGAGGGUGAUCGGCCACACUGGGACUGAGACACGGCCCAGACUCCUACGGGAGGCAGCAGUAGGGAAUCUUCCGCAAUGGACGAAAGUCUGACGGAGCAACGCCGCGUGAGUGAUGAAGGUUUUCGGAUCGUAAAGCUCUGUUGCCAGGGAAGAACGCUUGGGAGAGUAACUGCUCUCAAGGUGACGGUACCUGAGAAGAAAGCCCCGGCUAACUACGUGCCAGCCGCCGCUGUAA